CCUACGCGAUGCAGCAGUGAGGAAUAUUGGUCAAUGGACGAGAGUCUGAACCAGCCAAGUAGCGUGAAGGAUGACUGCCCUAUGGGUUGUAAACUUCUUUUAUAUGGGAGUAAAACAUGGUAUGCAUACCCUCUUGUAUGUCCCAUAUGAAUAAGGAUCGGCUAACUCCGUGCCAGCAGCCGCGGUUAUUCGGAGGAUCCGAGCGGUUUCCGGCUUUUUUGGGUUUAAAGGGAGCGUUGGUGGAUUGUUACGUCAGUUGUGAAAGUUUGCGGCUCAACCGUAAAAUUGCAGUUGAAACUGGCAGUCUUGAGUACAGGAGAGGUAGGCGGAAUUCGUGGUGUAGCGGUGAAAUGCUUAGAUAUCACGAAGAACUCCGAUUGCGAAGGCAGCUCACUGGACUGCAACUGACACUGAUGCUCGAAAGUGUGGGUAUCAAACAGGAUUAGAUACCCCUGUAGUC
rnacentral:rRNA from 1 species